CCUUUUCUUGUUUACCCGCCUAUAUACCGCCGUCGUCAGCUUACCCUGUAAAGGCCCUAUAGUAAGCAAAAAUGAUUCAAAUCCAAAACGUCAGGUCGAGGUGUAGCGCAUGGAAAGGAAAGAAAUGGGCUACAUUCCCUGCCCCAGGGAACACGAAUAGUACACUGAAACACGUACUUGAAGGAGGAUUUAACAGUAAGCAGGAAACAGAGCGUUCUGCUGAAACUGGCCCUGAAGCGCGUACACACCGCCCGUCACUCUCCCCAAACAAACCCAUUAAACUAACAUAAACAACUACUCAUCCAAAGGGGAGGCAAGUCGUAACAUGGUAAGUGUACCGGAAGGUGCACUUGGAACAAC
rnacentral:rRNA from 1 species